GCUCACUCUCUUGGUGGCCAUCUUUAAAGAUCAUAGGUGAGAUGAGAACCCGAGAGGAGGAAGAGGAGAGGCUGCAUGGAGUGCUCAGUCCCUGACACCUACAAGCGGAGCUCUGGAACUCAUGUUUUCCAACUCAGGAGGAGAAAGGGGGAAUUGGGCAAAAAUUCACAAACCUGUGCGAGGUGGAAGUUGUUCCUCCAGGUCCUGGGGGUGGCUGCAAAUACAGUGGGGUCUGCAGAGGAAAACUUCAAAGCUGUGACAAGGAGGACAGCAAGGCCAGAUGCAGGGAGCACCUUCAUCUCCUCUUGGUAGCUUGUUCACCCCAUUGGCCCAGUGCAAAGGCAGACAAGGAGCAGAGUGUUGGAGUGAGAAGAAUGAUGCAACAAAGUCAUGGGUGUGAGAGUCUGUUGACUGAGCUAGGGUCAUGUGCCCUUGUCUUCAUCUCCAGACAGAAGCAGCAAGUGGAUCUCCCCUCAGCCUGGUCUCCACAUGAGGAGGCAGGACACCCUCCAUGGAAACCAUCAAUAAUGGGGAACAUUUUCCAGAGAAGAAUACAUCCAAACCAAACCCAGUAAAUGUUCAGUAACCUUCUGAAACUUCUGUCUUCUGCUGUGUAGAAAGAAGGAUAAUGGAAUUUAUAUUAGAAGGAGUCAGAGGGGAUUAAAAUGGCAAAUGUACAUUUACUGCUGAGCCUGGCUCAUAAAUGGAAGAUUUGAGAAUUGUUUUUCCUAUAAUUUACAAACUUUCCAAAAAAAUACUGUGAUGAAUUAAUAAAAAAUUAACAUUUGACAUUUUCUUA